CGUCAACUGUUUACGCAGUCGUUUAGCUAGCUACACAGACGAUUGUUAAAUUAAAUCCACGAACAAAACAUAAAAGACAGUUUCGCCUGUGAAAACAUUUAGAAUGAAUACUGGAUGAUUCAACCUAUCCUGGUUUCAUUUUGUGAUAGUGUGUCUGCUAUACAGGUCAGUGUUUGUUGGACGCGGGAGGGGUGUCGGCUGGCUGGCACUAACUUGCGCAGCUAUGAAGAGAAAUCCAGCACAGUCCUGAGAGAGGAGGGAAACUCCAGCAUUUCUUCACUUCACAGAACAAAAAUAAGGAGGAGAAAGGACAGUGGAAAAGGAAAACCCUGGGAACGAGGAAAGGCUGUUUUGGAGGGAGAAAGACAGAGAAAAGAAUGCUUCAGAAUGUGAAAUAACCUGGAGGACAUUAUUCUACUACAGUUCGACUAAUGGGUCUGGGAUUCUAAUGUGGCAUUUCAGGCUCUGGGAUGUACAAGAUGUUGCUGUGUUUCUCAGCAUCGCACUUUAUAUGUGUCACCUAGCUGGAGCCAUCUCCAUCCAUUCUCCCCAGAAGAGCCUCACCAGGUCAGUGCAGGAGGAUGUGUUUUUCUCGGUGGAUAUUACCUGCGAUGGGAUCCCCACCAUACAAUGGACCUUUAUGUCAGGAGCGGUGAGCCGCACCAUAGGGACAUGGCAGCCGGGGUUGUACACUAACAUAACGGUGGAUUACAGUAGCAGAGUGCAGCACUUCAACAAUGGCUCUAUGGGCCUGUCAGACCUGCGCCUGGCAGAUGCUGGAUACUACCAGGUCACUGUCACAGAAACAGCAGGAAGCAGCAAGGAUGCUGGCUUUGUCCUGAAAGUGAACGAGGUGCUGUAUGAGGACCUUCAGUACCUGUCUGUCUCUGCCUUGGCACUGGCCUGUUUGACUGGCCUUCUCAUGCUGGUAAUGUGGCUACUGGACAAGGUCUACAGGAAGAUCGUGGCAUGGAAACGCAGGAAAGAGAUGCCAGAAAAUGAUGCAACAGAGCUGCAGCCUCUUUGAUGGACGUCUAACUGUGCAUCAUACCAGGGAUGAAAACACACCAGAGACUGUUCAUCAAACUCUGCAACAAGGACUAGUUUUUUUAAAUCAAUCAUCAGAACUUGAAUCAAGCUUUGGAAAAACUUUUAGAAUUAUGCAGCAGGUAGUCCGUCUCAGACUUUAGAUGAAGUGAUAAUAGAUGGAGAAACAAAUUACUACUUUUCAGGUCUUGAGAUUAACGUUUUCAAAAAGCAACAACUCAAAAAAACAAAGGACUGUUGAUUUUAAAAAAGUGAUUCCAUAGGAUUGUGAUAUUUUAAACCUGUUGGAUGGUAGAACUAAAACCUCACUCAUCAUGGAUCUUGCUUAAACCUGAUGAAUCAGACUAAAAGAAAAACGCUGUUGCUGUGAUGAGGAUAACACAAGGCUACAAAAAUGCAUUCCUAAUAAGAAAACAUUGAAGUGUUUACCAGACGUCCUUAGAAAACAUCAUUCAAUUCAUAGCUUUAUUCUUAUGAUGACAUGACAAAUCAGCACAAAUACAUAAUGACAGGCUGUUUUUUUUAUUUUGUAUCAAACUGUUUUGAGGUAUACAUACACUCCAAACCUAUCAAAGACAGAGCAGUCAACAGACACUACUGGAGGUUGAAAGGAGUUUAUGGCCGUGUUCAGAAAGUCUAUGAGUUGGGAAAAAGUGUACACGAAGUAAAAGUCACAUUUUGUACAAAUGAUGACGCCGAGGCUGUAUCUAAGGACAGGGAGUCAGUGCAGCCAUGAGGAGCUCCAUCUUGUAGACAAAGUUUCGUCCCUCCAUCUUGCUCCAGUGGACCUCUUUGCAUGGCCCUCUGAGGUGACACCACUUGGCGUCCUGGAUGACAUCGCUCUUUGGCAGAUCUUUGAUCUGGCUGCGGGAGAACUGGACCAAAACUUUGCACCCGCUUUCUGGGCCGUUACGCACUGAAUAGACGAACAGAUACAGACACUGUAUUAGUGACUAAAAUAUGUUAAUAAUAUUCUUGGUAAUUUCAGGUUAUGAGGAUAUUCAGUAUUACUUUGUUUUUAACUGCCUUGAAAUACUCUGUAA